rnacentral:rRNA from 1 species
AUUGAACGCUGGCGGCAUGCCUUACACAUGCAAGUCGAACGGCAGCACGGGAGCAAUCCUGGUGGCGAGUGGCGAACGGGUGAGUAAAGUAUCGGAACGUGCCCAGUCGUGGGGGAUAACGUAGCGAAAGUUACGCUAAUACCGCAUACGAUCUAUGGAUGAAAGCGGGGGAUCGCAAGACCGCGCGCGAUUGGAGCGGCCGAUAUCAGAUUAGGUAGUUGGUGGGGUAAAGGCUCACCAAGCCGACGAUCUGUAGCUGGUCUGGGAGGACGACCAGCCACACUGGGACUGAGACACGGCCCAGACUCCUACGGGAGGCAGCAGUGGGGAAUUUUGGACAAUGGGCGAAAGCCUGAUCCAGCCAUGCCGCGUGCAGGAUGAAGGCCUUCGGGUUGUAAACUGCUUUUGUACGGAACGAAAAGGUUUGGCCUAAUAAGCUGAGCUCAUGACGGUACCGUAAGAAUAAGCACCGGCUAACUACGUGCCAGCAGCCGCAGUAA